rnacentral:rRNA from 1 species
GACGAACGCUGGCGGCGUGCUUAACACAUGCAAGUCGAACGGAAAGGUCCUGCUUUUGUGGGGUGCUCGACUGGCGAACGGGUGAGUAACACGUGAGUAACCUGCCCCUGACUUUGGGAUAACUUCAGGACACUGGGGCUAAUCCCGGAUAGGAGCUCUUGCUGCAUGGUGGGGCUUGGAAAGUUUCGGCGGUUGGGGAUGGACUCGCGGCUUAUCAGCUUGUUGGUGGGGUAGUGUCUUACCAUGGCCAUGACGGGUAGCCGGCCUGCGAGGGUAACCGGCCACAUUAGGACGGAAAUGCGGCCCAGACUCGAACGGUAGGCAACGGUGGAGAGUGGUGCACUGGGGGCGGAGGCCAGGUGCGACAACGCCACGUGGGGUAUGUCAUCCAUGGGGUAGUGAUCCACAGUCGCCUUUGACGAGACGAGAAUGACGGUAAUGGGUGAAGAAGCACCGGCUAACUACGUG